UAUUGCGUAAGAUUGAGUGUCAACAUGAUUGUUGCAGUGAGAUGACGGAAUGAAAUUUUAUAUAUUUUUAUAUUUGUAUUGCUAGAAUAGAUUCGGCUUCUCUUUUAGUAAAGAAAAAUGAAAUAACCCGACAAUGUCAAAACUUUUAGUAUGUCUGUGCUUAUUGAUUCUGAUAAUCCUACAGCUAGCUGAUUCGGAAAAGGACAAGCUUCUCGAAAUGGCAGUUCUUCAAAAAGAGUUGUGAUCACAAGCAGCAAUAGACUGAGGCUCACCUUCAACGACGAGCAGGGAAUCAUGGCGUGGCUCUUCUGGUGAAUUUGCCGAGGGAUUCUCAAGCCGGUUGGUAGCAAGCCUCGGUCGAUUGUCUACUUCGCAGAGGGUUCAAACUUAAAAUUCUGGAGUUGCUCAUUGAUGUUGGCAUAAGUGGAUGAGCAUAACAGAUUAGAAAGAUUUUCAGGACUCUACAAAUUCUUUAUUACUUUUCUUAUUUCACAUUAUUGUUUUAUUUUGCAGCUAAUAAUUGCAACAAAACCGGAUCCAGAGCAUAUGAGAAAUCGCCAAAAAUUGUAACUGAAGACAACAUCAAGUUACUUUUUUUAAUACAGAAAAAGGUUGAUGCAAUCCAAGCAAAUUAUUCUGGCUUACUAAUAUCACUAACGGACAUAUGCAUGAAGCCGUUACGCCAGGAUUGUGCAACUCAAAGUGUGCUGCAGGUGCUUAAGGAUGCAAAUGGUCUUGAUAUAGUUGCAGAAGAUGAGUCAGCAGGCUUCGAAUCUAAAUACAUCAAGAAGUCCUCUUGGCACGCUUGAUACCAAUAUAUCUCAUAACGAACAAAUGAAAAAAAAAUCGAUUCUGAGUUGAUGAAAAGGAAUUCUGCGAUGCCAGAGGUUGUAAAAAAAUCUGUACCAGAAGGGGAAGUUGAAGCGGGUGGCUGGGUUCAUCUUGGUCCAGAACAUGGAGUAGGUGUUGUCCCAAAAAUGGUCGGGAUGCAUUUUUUCAGAAGAUGAACCACUGGAAGUAGUUGUUUGAAGGUAGUCUUUGGUGACUUUGAGGACAGUCUUUGAUGUAGUAGUCAGGCUCCCGGACGGAGGGAAUGGGAAGGCAAUAUCAACCUCAAUAUCCAAAUCAAGAAAAGUAUAAGUGGUCAUCAGAAAUCCUUCCUUCAGUAAAAGGCAUAUGAGCAAUACACACUAAUUAGAAAUCCGAAGGCAGACACUGGAUACAUCUUUGCAGUAUGUAUUUCGGACUUUUAAACGUACCUCAAGUCCUUUUUAAUUAUGUUAGUUGGCAGGUGCAAAGAGAUCCGGUCCUCCUUGAGCAAACCUAAAUUGAGAAAAUGGACUAGCUGCUGAAGUUAUUCAGAAGAUUGAAAAUGUGCACCCCAAUUCACAUACCACAUGUGCGGGUACUAAUGGUCGGAAGAGGAACAAAGAAAAUCAAUCAGAUGCUUCACUUGCUGGUAUUCGUCAACAAGGUUCUGGAAAUGCUCUGGAUUUGUUCCUACAAAGACGCGCUGAAAGUAUUAAGAGAUCCAGGACCAUCGGCACUUCGUCAGAGUUCGACAAAAACAACACAG